GACGCACGCUGGCGGCGUGCCUAAUACAUGCAAGUAGGACGCAGUUGCGACCGGGUGAGUAACGCGUAGGUAACUACCUAUUAGAGGGGGAUAACUAUUGGAAACGAUAGCUAAUACCGCAUCCUCGUAGAUGGACCUGCGUUGUAUUAGCUAGUAGGUAGGGUAAUGGCCUACCUAGGCAACGAUACAUAGACGACCGUGGAUGGUGAUCGGCCACAAUGGGACUGAGACACGGACCGUACUCCUACGGGAGGCAGCAGUAGGGAAUCGUCGGCAAUGGGGGGAACCCUGACCGAGCAACGCCGCGUGAGCGAAGAAGGUUUUCGGAUCGUAAAGCUCUGUUGUUAAGGAAGCGGUACUUAACCAGAAAGGGACGGCUAACUACGUGCCAGCAGCCGCGGUAAUAC
rnacentral:rRNA from 1 species